rnacentral:rRNA from 1 species
CCUACGGGUGGCAGCAGUGGGGGAUAUUGCACAAUGGGGGGAACCCUGAUGCAGCGACGCCGCGUGGGUGAAGAAGCGCCUCGGCGCGUAAAGCCCUUUCAGCCGGGAAGAAAAGGCCGGUACCUGAAGAAGAAGCCCCGGCUAACUACGUGCCAGCAGCCGCGGUAAUACGUCGGGGGCAAGCGUUAUCCGGAUUUACUGGGUGGAAAGGGGGCGCAGACGGCGAUGCAAGCCAGGAGUGAAAGCCCGGGGCCCAACCCCGGGAGUGCUCUUGGAACUGCGUGGCUGGAGUGCAGGAGGGGGAGGCGGAAUUCCUGGUGUAGCGGUGAAAUGCGUAGAUAUCAGGAGGAACACCGGUGGCGAAGGCGGCCUGCUGGACUGCAACUGACGUUGAGGCACGAAAGCGUGGGGAGCGAACAGGAUUAGAUACCCGUGUAGUC